UACGUAGGGGGCGAGCGUUGUCCGGAAUUAUUGGGCGUAAAGAGCUCGUAGGCGGUUUGUCGCGUCUGCUGUGAAAACUCAGGGCUUAACCCUGAGCCUGCAGUGGGUACGGGCAGACUAGAGUGUGGUAGGGGAGACUGGAAUUCCUGGUGUAGCGGUGAAAUGCGCAGAUAUCAGGAGGAACACCGAUGGCGAAGGCAGGUCUCUGGGCCACUACUGACG
rnacentral:rRNA from 1 species